rnacentral:rRNA from 1 species
CCCGACUGCUAUUUGGGUGAGGAUAAGCCAUGCGAGUUGAAUGGGAAACCUAAAAAUCCCAUGGCAAACUGCUCAGUAACACAUGAUCAACUUACCCUAUAGAGGAAAAUAACCUCGGGAAACUGAGGAUAAUGUUCCAUAGUUGAAUCGGCUUGGAAAGGUUUUUCAAUUAAAGGGAUAAGGAAAAUGGUUCUUAUCUGCUAUAGGAUAGGAUCGUGCUCGAUUAUGGUUGUUGGUGAGGUAAAGGCUCACCAAGCCGAUAAUCGAUAGGGGCCGUGAGAGCGGGAGCCCCGAGAUGGGUACUGAGACAACGACCCAGGCCUUACGAGGCGCAGCAGGCGCGAAACCUCCGCAAUACACGAAAGUGUGACGGGGUUACCCAAAGUGUUCUAUUUUAGAACUGUGGUAGGUGAGUAAUGUCCCCUACUAGAAAGGAGAGGGCAAGGCUGGUGCCAGCCGCCGCGGUAAAACCAGCUCUUCAAGUGGUCGGGAUAAUAUUGGGCUUAAAGUGUCCGUAGCCGGUUUAGUAAGUUCCUGGUAAAAUCGGGUAGCUUAACUAUCUAUAUGCUAGGAAUACUGCUAUACUAGAGGGCGGGAGAGGUCUGAGGUACUACAGGGGUAGGGGUGAAAUCUUAUAAUCCUUGUAGGACCACCAGUGGCGAAGGCGUCAGACUGGAACGCGCCUGACGGUGAGGGACGAAAGCCAGGGGAGCGAACCGGAUUAGAUACCCGGGUAGUCCUGGCCGUAAACGAUGCAUACUAGGUGAUGGCACGGCCAUGAGCCGUGUCAGUGCCGUAGGGAAACCGUUAAGUGUGCCGCCUGGGAAGUACGGUCGCAAGGCUAAAACUUAAAGGAAUUGGCGGGGGAGCACCACAAGGGGUGAAGCCUGCGGUUCA